GUCUGGACACACCUGAACACACCUGAUCUCAUCUGACCUUGGAAGUUAAGCAGGGUUGGGCCUCAUUCCUAUUUGGAUGGGAAUUGCCUGGAAAUAUCGGGUGCUGUAGCCU
ensembl:rRNA 5S_rRNA 5S ribosomal RNA